AUGCUUCUCUUAUCGAUAUGGAGUUGGGAGCACUUGCCAGUGGGGCGACCAGCGCUUGCAGGUUACGUGUUGUGGGAUGAUCAUGAUGACCCAGACCGUAUGCCUACAUGGGCGUAUAAGUGGGACAAGGUUGAAAUUUUUGUUGGCAAUUCAAAGAUCAUGUACUUGCACUACUGCAACGAGCUCGACAUCAUGACCCCGGAGUAG
rnacentral:rRNA from 1 species